rnacentral:rRNA from 1 species
UACGUAGGGUGCGAGCGUUAAUCGGAAUUACUGGGCGUAAAGCGUGCGCAGGCGGUGAGCUGUGUCCGAUGUGAAAGCCCCGGGCUUAACCUGGGAAUGGCAUUGGAAACUGGCUCGCUGGAGUGUGGCAGAGGGGGGUGGAAUUCCGGCGUGUAGCAGUGAAAUGCGUAGAGAUGUGGAGGAACACCGAUGGCGAAGGCAGCCCCCUGGGCUAAGAUUGACGCUCAUGCACGAAAGCGUGGGGAGCAAACAGG